GGUGAACGCUGGCGGCAGGCCUAACACAUGCAAGUCGAACGGAUCCUUCGGGAUUAGUGGCGGACGGGUGAGUAACACGUGGGAACGUGCCCUUUGGUUCGGCACAACGGAGGGGAACUUGAGGUAAUACCGGAUGUGCCCGUCGAGGGAAAGAUUUAUCGCCAUUGGAGCGGCCCGCGUCUGAUCAGGUAGUUGGUGACGUAAAGGCUCACCAAGGCGACGCUCAGUAGCUGGUCUGAGAGGAUGAUCAGCCACAUUGGGACGGAGACACGGCCCAAACUCCUACGGGAGGCAGCAGUGGCGAAUCUUGCGCAAUGGGCGAAAGCCUGACGCAGCCAUGCCGCGUGAAUGAUGAAGGUCUUAGGAUUGUAAAAUUCUUUCACCGGGGACGAUAAUGACGGUACCCGGAGAAGAAGCCCCGGCUAACUUCGUGCCAGCCGCCGCCGUAAGAC
rnacentral:rRNA from 1 species